GCGGCAACAAACAUGGCGCCAAAUACAGCAAUGAUAUCGAUGACUGUUUGAGCUGGAUUACCAGGUGGCUGGCCAGGGGGAACUGAAGAUUCGAUAAUUUCGUUUUCUAAAGAAAUUAAGAAAGGUGGGGUUUGCUCUUCAAUGAAUAAGGCAGACGACAAAAGCAAAAUGUCUGCCAGAGGAAAUCCGCGUCACUUUGUGCAAUAUGGAAAUUGUUUAAUUCAAUUGAGCAAUGUAAUAAUGUGACAACUGACAGGAUGGCGCAUUCUUAGAUGCAUUUCCUCUUUGGUUGCGACAUCACGUGAGAUUGAGUCGGAUUGACAUCUCGUUACGUUUGAACAUAAGGACCCUUUUUCUGGGUUUUUUUCUUCGCGACUCGUGAUAACCUUGCUUAAUUAUUUCCAUGCUGUCCAUGCUGAGUAACGUCAAUCAAAGAUGUGCAAGUUGUUAGCUAUUUUCAAGCCUAGGUGGAAACAGCGAACCAGGGAUUGGGUCAGGAAUUUCCCUGCAUGCUAAGCGACUGGUACUUUGAUGGGGGACUCACCUUCGAAACUCUCCUCUGUGAAUCCUCCAUAAUCCAGGGACUGCCCCCCAGAGCCUCCAAUCGUGCCAUUGUGCUGAUUGUGAGAUGACAGGAUGUAACUGAGCGCGUGAGCGCUAGGAUGAUGCCCGCCGAUAACUCCGCUGCUGGCAUCCACCGAACGUAGGAAUGUCGCUAUCGUCGUCGCUAUGACUCCCCUGUGAUUAGCAACAAACAAGUACUCCCAUCAGCGAGGGUAUACGAGAGAGGGUGGCAUGGUGGCAAGCAAAUAUAACGAGAAGUAAAAAUCCUUGAAAGUGCGUAGGCUACAACGACCGGGCCAAUCAACUACCUUGUCCAGCAGCCAUAGAAAACAGAUUCCCCGGAAUAUCAAAUACCGACGCCUCCACUUCUCACACACAAUUUCUUUUUUUUUGCCGGGAUCUCGGUGUGGGUGUCGGACUCGAGACACGCGAGAAAACUGCGCCCCGUCACGUAACCAGAGCACGAAAAGGACGGGCAAAGGGGAUAAUAUAUAUAUACACGUAUAUAUUCAAUAAAAACACCUGACCACAUGACGGCAGAGUAGAAGAGAAAAAAAGCUUAUCAUCUCUACCUUAGUUAUUGUCGUGUGACUGAAGCUCAAACGUUUGUUAACGCUGUGCGGCUCAUCCUUUUCGAAAUGGCUCUACAGCAAAUGACCAGUCAAAUGCUUGUUCGAGGUCGAUGAUAUUCGACACUGGACGUCAAGAUUUUAUUAAACACACAUUUUCGGCGAAGCUUGUAGGUCGCCGAAAAUGUGUUCUCUUGGUCUGCUGGCAGUGUGCAUGGCUUUGUAAAGGAGGGCAUCAGCCGUUUCUGACCUGAACCUGGAGCAACCAACGCCCCCAGGCUGAAGAUGUGUAGUUUCAAAAA
rnacentral:lncRNA from 1 species